UUGUUAUAUGAGAGUGAGGGAGCCAUGAUUUGAAUGUUUGGUUGAUGAAUUGAUUGUAGGCAGUAGCUAGUUUUGGGAGCCAAAAUGCUUGCCUAAACAAAUAGAAAUAUGGGUUGUGACGGAUUGAGUUUGAAUUUAGAUAUAUUUUUAAGUUCAUUUUUUAAAUUAAGUUUGAGUUUAAAAAAUGAAAAUUGUGACUUAGGCUUCUUUUGGUUUGGCUUUGCAUGCCAGUGAAGUGCAGUUGGGAGGAAAAUAUUGUACCAACCUCACUGGUCAGCCUUUUUGUUCAGCAUGUUAGUUCAGUGAAAAGCCAUCUCCACCACACUAGUCAGUCCCAAAUCAGUUGAAGUUUUCAGCAGCAAUUGAAAUUAACUGAGCUAUUGGC
rnacentral:lncRNA from 1 species